CGGGUGCGCAAGAAUAUUGUCGGGCCCGGGCGGUCGUAUGCGCCACAGGUCCGUCAUCGCCAUCAGCAUCGCCAUUCUCGGACCCGUCUCGCUCAUCAGGAGAUCCGGAGCCGCCGCAAAAGCUUGCCGAGGACCGCCUCGUACUCCUCGGGCUUGGAGAAAUCGGCGUAGAGCUUGCCUUUCAAGAACUCUGGCAGCUCACAUUCCUCGUAGAGCAGCGGCAGCACGACCACCUCGCCGCUCGCGAUCUCGCGGUUCAUCGCC
rnacentral:misc_RNA from 1 species